rnacentral:lncRNA from 10 species
GAAGGAAGCUAAGCAAUAUAACCCUGUGGCAACAUUUGUAAAAGUGACUCUGAGAAGACAGAAAGAUCCUCUAUGAGAGACUGGUGUCCCCAGGAAUUGGCGAGGCCUGCUGAGGAUCAUUUGGGUAAAUGUCAUGGUCACGCGGCCCCAUUCUCUUCGCUGAGCUCCGGAUUUCCGUAGCCAAUUGUCUGCUGGACAUUCCUCCCUGAUACAUCUCACAGGCGAUUACUUUAAAACAUGAAAGAAAUUGCACCUUUUCCUUAAGGGCAAGAUGGUGCUGUGGGCUUUCCUCUCUCCUGAUGAGAUGAUGCAAAUGGACUCCAUAGAGAAACGCUGCCCGUGUAACAAUGCAGUUACGCAACCCGGUGCAUGACACAUGAAUUGCAGCGCACCUGAGAUCCUGAUGAAAUCCUGGGAGCCUGGAGCUGUCAAACAUGGUUUUAAAAAAUAAAGGGAAUACACCCAGCCCACACCCUGACUUUACAACCUUUAAUUAAUUAGAGGAAAGAAAGAGAGAUUUGUCUGGUUUCAUGACUUCAACUUUCCACCUGGAAUAUGAAGCUCCUGCUCUUCCCACCUCCUUUUCUUCUCUCUCUCUCUCUCAGGUUUUUAAAUUUCUAUUUCCAGUUCUGCCACCAAAAAUAGAUUGCAAAUAUAUUCUGCAUAAUUCCGAGGCUACACUAUAAAUGUUGGAGUGCUACUACUUGUAUAAUAGUCACAAAUGAACGCACGAGUGGGCAC